rnacentral:tRNA from 1 species
UCCUUGGUGGCUCAGAUGGUAAAGAAUCUGCCUGCAAUGCAGGAGACCUGGGUUCAAUUCCUAGGUUGGGGA